AUGGGGUUAACAGGUACUUGGAUACCUGCGGUAAUUCUGGAGCUAAUACAUGCGAAAAGCCUCGAACUUACGUGAGAGGCGCUUUUAUUAGAUCAAAACCAAUCGGCUUCGGCUGUACUCUUGGUGACUCUGAAUAACUUUGGGCUGAUCGUAUAGCCUUGCGCUGACGACAUAUCCUUCGAAGGUGUGCCCUAUCAACUGUCGACUGUGGCAUAGACGCCCACAGUGGUUUUGACGGGUAACGGGGAAUCAGGGUUCGAUUCCGGAGAGGGGGGCCUUAUGGGCGGCUACCACAUCUAAGGAAGGCAGCAGGCACGCAGAUUACCCAAUGAUCGAAGAUCGAGGUAGUGACGAAAAAUAACGAUCCAGGACUCAUCCGAGGCCCUGGAAUCGGAAUGAGUACACUUUAAAACCGUCCCCGAGGAUCUAUUGGAGGGCAAGUCUGGUGCCAGCAGCCGCGGUAAUUCCAGCUCCAAUAGCGUAUAUUAAAGUUGUUGUGGUUAAAAAGCUCGUAGUUGGAUCACGGCGGACUGAGGGCGGUUUGCUUGCUAGUAUUACUGCCCUAUAGUCCGUAGUUUUGCCAGAGGUUUCGGGGUGCUCUUAAUCGAGUGUCCCGGGAUGCUGGCAGGUUUACUUUGAAAAAAUUAGAGUGCUCAAAGCAGGCUAUUACGCCUGAAUGRKUCGUGCAUGGAAUAAUAGAAUAGGAAGUCGUUUCUAUUUUGUUGGUUUUCGGAAAUCGACUUAAUGAUUAAUAGGGACAGUCGGGGGCAUUUGUAUUCAAACGACAGAGGUGAAAUUCUUGGACCGUUUGAAGACAAACUACUGCGAAAGCAUUUGCCAAGAAUGUUUUCAUUAAUCAAGAACGAAAGUUAAAGGUUCGAAGGCGAUUAGAUACCGCCCUAGUUUUAACCAUAAACGAUGCCAGCUAGCGAUCUGCGGACGUUUUUUUUGUAGACUCCGCAGGAAGCUUCCGGGAAACCAAAGCAUUUGGGUUCCAGGGGAAGUAUGGUUGCAAAGCUGAAACUUAAAGGAAUUGACGGCUAUACUAGAAGCCCAGAUGCUCAACUGAACCCCAAGAAGAAAAUAUUUGAAGCUUGUGCUCCAGACUUGAAAGUUAAUGAUGCUAAGCAGGCAACUUACAAGGGAUUCUGUGGACUGUCAAUGGUCAGCCAAUCACUUCU
rnacentral:rRNA from 1 species